rnacentral:tRNA from 1 species
AUUAGGGUGGCAGAGCCAGGAAAUUGCGUAAAACUUAAAACUUUAUCCCCAGAGGUUCAAAUCCUCUCCCUAAU